rnacentral:misc_RNA from 1 species
UACAGUUCUUGGAGCAACAGCCUGAGAGACACAAUUUCUGUCUUUCUCGCCUAGCUCUGUUGAGGAGAGAAUCAACUUCAGUAAUGGUAGCGUCUACCCUUGAAAGCCAUCCUCCAACUCGAUCCAGCUGCACUGUUUGUGGAGUUUCCUCACUGUUGACCCUCCGCAUCACAUCAUUGCUCAGCUCUCUUAAUUUAUCUCUUGCAGUCUCAAGUUCUUGAAGAUUGUCUUCAAGCUGACAUACAUAAAGAGCUUGUCCAGCAACGCAAUCCCAGCAACGACCGGUCAAGGCAUCACCGCAUUGAAUUG